GAGUGAGUGGCGAACUGGUGAGUAACACGUGGGAAACCUGCCCAGAAGCGGGGGAUAACACCUGGAAACAGAUGCUAAUACCGCAUAACAACUUGGACCGCAUGGUCCGAGUUUGAAAGAUGGCUUCGGCUAUCACUUUUGGAUGGUCCCGCGGCGUAUUAGCUAGAUGGUGGGGUAACGGCUCACCAUGGCAAUGAUACGUAGCCGACCUGAGAGGGUAAUCGGCCACAUUGGGACUGAGACACGGCCCAAACUCCUACGGGAGGCAGCAGUAGGGAAUCUUCCACAAUGGACGAAAGUCUGAUGGAGCAACGCCGCGUGAGUGAAGAAGGGUUUCGGCUCGUAAAACUCUGUUGUUAAAGAAGAACAUAUCUGAGAGUAACUGUUCAGGUAUUGACGGUAUUUAACCAGAAAGCCACGGCUAACUACGUGCCAGCAGCCGCGGUAAUACGUAGGUGGCAAGCGUUGUCCGGAUUUAUUGGGCGUAAAGCGAGCGCAGGCGGUUUUUUAAGUCUGAUGUGAAAGCCUUCGGCUCAACCGAAGAAGUGCAUCGGAAACUGGGAAACUUGAGUGCAGAAGAGGACAGUGGAACUCCAUGUGUAGCGGUGAAAUGCGUAGAUAUAUGGAAGAACACCAGUGGCGAAGGCGGCUGUCUGGUCUGUAACUGACGCUGAGGCUCGAAAGUAUGGGUAGCAAACAGGAUUAGAUACCCUGGUAGUCCAUACCGUAAACGAUGAAUGCUAAGUGUUGGAGGGUUUCCGCCCUUCAGUGCUGCAGCUAACGCAUUAAGCAUUCCGCCUGGGGAGUACGGCCGCAAGGCUGAAACUCAAAGGAAUUGACGGGGGCCCGCACAAGCGGUGGAGCAUGUGGUUUAAUUCGAAGCUACGCGAAGAACCUUACCAGGUCUUGACAUACUAUGCAAAUCUAAGAGAUUAGACGUUCCCUUCGGGGACAUGGAUACAGGUGGUGCAUGGUUGUCGUCAGCUCGUGUCGUGAGAUGUUGGGUUAAGUCCCGCAACGAGCGCAACCCUUAUUAUCAGUUGCCAGCAUUAAGUUGGGCACUCUGGUGAGACUGCCGGUGACAAACCGGAGGAAGGUGGGGAUGACGUCAAAUCAUCAUGCCCCUUAUGACCUGGGCUACACACGUGCUACAAUGGAUGGUACAACGAGUUGCGAACUCGCGAGAGUAAGCUAAUCUCUUAAAGCCAUUCUCAGUUCGGAUUGUAGGCUGCAACUCGCCUACAUGAAGUCGGAAUCGCUAGUAAUCGCGGAUCAGCAUGCCGCGGUGAAUACGUUCCCGGGCCUUGUACACACCGCCCGUCACACCAUGAGAGUUU
rnacentral:rRNA from 3 species